GUGGGGAAUCUUGCGCAAUGGGCGAAAGCCUGACGCAGCCAUGCCGCGUGAAUGAUGAAGGUCUUAGGAUUGUAAAAUUCUUUCACCGGGGACGAUAAUGACGGUACCCGGAGAAGAAGCUCCGGCUAACUUCGUGCCAGCAGACGCGGUAAUACGAAGGGGGCUAGCGUUGCUCGGAAUUACUGGGCGUAAAGGGCGCGUAGGCGUACAGCUUAGUCAGAGGUGAAAGCCCAGGGCUCAACCUUGGAAUUGCCUUUGAUACUGGCUGUCUUGAGUUUGGGAGAGGUGAGUGGAACUCCGAGUGUAGAGGUGAAAUUCGUAGAUAUUCGGAAGAACACCAGUGGCGAAGGCGACUCACUGGCCCAAUACUGACGCUGAGGCGCGAAAGCGUGGGGAGCAAACAGGAUUAGAUACCCGUGUAGUCC
rnacentral:rRNA from 1 species